CCUACGGGUGGCAGCAGUAGGGAAUAUUGCUCAAUGGGGGAAACCCUGAAGCAGCAACGCCGCGUGGAGGAUGAAGGUUUUAGGAUUGUAAACUCCUUUUGGGAGAGAAGAUAAUGACGGUAUCUCACCAAUCAGCACCGGCUAACUCCGUUCCAGCAGCCGCGGUCAUACGGAGGGUGCAAGCGUUACUCGGAAUCACUGGGCGUAAAGAGUGCGCAGGCGGGAUUGUAAGUCAGCUGUGAAAUCCUGUAGCUUAACUACAGAACUGCAUUUGAAACUAUGAGGCUAGAGUGUGGGAGAGGUAGGUGGAAGUCUUGGUGUAGCGGUGAAAUGCGUAGAUAUCAAGAGGAAUACUCAUUGCGAAGGCGACCUACUGGAACAUAACUGACGCUCAUGCACGAAAGCGUGGGGAGCAAACAGGAUUAGAUACCCUAGUAGUC
rnacentral:rRNA from 1 species